UUGACAAUUUUUAUUAUUUAUAUUUCUUUUUAUAGCUUUUGAAUUUGUCUUCCAUCUUAUAUCUCAUCCGUGUGAUUCAUCACAUAGGAAUAUUUGUUGAGGCGUGUUUCAACAUUCAACCAAAUGCAUAUUUGAAUUGGGUCCCCCACUUCACUAAUAAGAAUUAACAUGUCACUUCAUGUGAAUUGUUGUUUUGCGUAAACGAAAUCUCAGUUUAAGAUGAAUUUUUUCUUGAGUCACCUUCCAAAUCAUUGUUAGCACUUAGCAGCCUUUGUACUUGCAUCAAAUAAAACUCACAUGACAUGAAAAUUCUGCUAGCUCCCCAAAACAAAGGAACACAGUAAUUAGAUCCAAAUUGUUCCAGAAUUCAGGCGGGUUGAACUGGACAAGAUAUUGUCUCAUUUUUGUCUAAGAUGCCCUUUUGUAGGGAUUGUAGUUUCUCCAAAUUUAGUUAUCUCGUGCAUUAUUUAUGAAAAUCAUUUAUGUUUAGAGCUCUUGAACUUGUACCUGUAUUGAGGUCUGCUCUUCAAACUAGCAAGCUUUUUGGGAGAGGUGCAACUAUGUAGUGGAAGACCCUAACUGCCUCACUAUUCUUCAAGCUACUAUCAAACCAUUCCAGUUUUAUGUUCUAUGAUGUGACACAAUGUUUCUAAUGGGCAAUGCCAAUAUGGAUUGUGACAUAAUAGCUUUAUUUUAGCAAUUGGUAAGAUGCAUAAUAGCUUUAUUUUAGUUGGAAUUCUUAUUUCCUCUUCCCAAAUCUAUCUUGAUAAAUAUUGAAUUUGUCAUUCGGCCCAUUCGAUCAUUGGAUCUAGAGGCAUUUUGGUUUAGACAUGUCGUGGUGCAUGGCUCUACCACUAUAUCCGAUUAAUGUGUUGCUUUCGACAUACCGGUAGACAAUCUGAUGAGCCUCACCAAGCAUGUGUCAUGUUUUGGUGUCAAACAUGGAGGCAUUUUCGUGUUCACAUGUUGAAAUUUCAGACAUGGACACCUAUGGUUUGACAUGUUUGCCCCCAUAAGUUUUGACAUAGGUCUAGAAGUUGAACAACCAUAUUCAUGUAUGGGAUGCAUGUAUUUGAUCUUUUAUGUUAAUUUUUCUUAUUUACUUUUGACUAUUUUUAUUAUCUAUAUUUCUUUUUAUAGCUUUUGAAUUUGUCUUCCAUCUUAUAUCUCAUCCGUGUGAUUCAUCACAUAGGAAUAUUUGUUGAGGCGUGUUUCAACAUUCAACCAAAUGCAUAUUUGAAUUGGGUCCCCCACUUCACUAAUAAGAAUUAACAUGUCACUUCAUGUGAAUUGUUGUUUUGCGUAAACGAAAUCUCAGUUUAAGAUGAAUCUUUUCUUGAGUCACCUUCCAAAUCAUUGUUAGCACUUAGCAGCCUUUGUACUUGCAUCAAAUAAAACUCACAUGACAUGAAAAUUCUGCUAGCUCCCCAAAACAAAGGAACACAGUAAUUAGCUCCAAAUUGUUCCAGAAUUCAUGCAGGUUGAACUGGACAAGAUAUUGUCUCAUUUUUGUCUAAGUUGCCCUUUUGUAGGGAUUGUAGUUUCUUCAAAUUUAGUUAUCUCGUGCAUUAUUUGUGAAAUUCAUUUAUGUUUAGAGCUCUUGAACUUAUACCUGUAUUGAGGUCUGCUCUUCAAACUAGCAAACUUUUUGGGAGAGGUGCAACUAUGCAGUGGAAGACCCUAACAGCCUCACUAUUCUUCAAGCUACUAUCAAACCAUUCCAGUUUUAUGUUCUAUGAUGUUACUCAAUGUUUCUAAUGGGCAAUCUCAAUACGGAUUGUGACAUAAUAGCUUUAGUUUAGCAAUUGGUAAGAUGCAUAAUAGCUUUAUUUUAGUUGGAAUUCUUAUUUCCUCUUCCCAAAUCUAUCUUGAUAAAUAUUGAAUUUGUCAUUCGGCCCAUUCAAUCAUUGGAUCUAGAGGCAUUUUGUUUUAGACAUGUCGUGGUGCGUGGCUCUACGACUAUAUCCGAUUAAUGUGUUGCUUUCGACAUACCAGUAGACAAUCUGAUGAGCCUCACCAAGCAUGUGUCAUGU
rnacentral:lncRNA from 1 species